rnacentral:rRNA from 1 species
UACGAAGGCGGCUGGCGUUGUUCGGAAUCACUGGGCGUAAAGCGCACGUAGGCGGACCGAUAAGCUGGGGGUGAAAGCCCAGGGCUCAACCCUGGAAAUGCCUCCAAUACUGUCGGUCUCGAGUUCGGGAGAGGUGAGUGGAAUUCCUAGUGUAGAGGUGAAAUUCGUAGAUAUUAGGAAGAACACCAGUGGCGAAGGCGGCUCACGGGCUCGAUACUGACGCUGAAGUGCGAAAGCGUGGGGAGCAAACAGG